AUUGAACGCUGGCGGCAGGCCUAACACAUGCAAGUCGAGCGGCAGCGGGAAAGUAGCUUGCUACUUUUGCCGGCGAGCGGCGGACGGGUGAGUAAUGCCUGGGAAAUUGCCCAGUCGAGGGGGAUAACAGUUGGAAACGACUGCUAAUACCGCAUACGCCCUACGGGGGAAAGCAGGGACCUUCGGGCCCUGCGCGAUUGGAUAUGCCCAGGUGGGAUUAGCUAGUUGGUGAGGUAAUGGCUCACCAAGGCGACGAUCCCUAGCUGGUCUGAGAGGAUGAUCAGCCACACUGGAACUGAGACACGGUCCAGACUCCUACGGGAGGCAGCAGUGGGGAAUAUUGCACAAUGGGGGAAACCCUGAUGCAGCCAUGCCGCGUGUGUGAAGAAGGCCUUCGGGUUGUAAAGCACUUUCGGCGAGGAGGAAAGGUUGAUGCCUAAUACGUAUCAACUGUGACGUUACUCGCAGAAGAAGCACCGGCUAACUCCGUGCCAGCCGCCGCAGUAACAC
rnacentral:rRNA from 1 species